rnacentral:lncRNA from 1 species
AAAACUGGCUAAGCUUUAAAUAGUUUUAAAAACUGGAUAUAGGAGUGCUCAAAGUGGCUACGUAGUGCCAUUUCUACCUUAUCUUCUAUGGAGUUAUCCAAAUUGGGAGAGCAUGAUACAUGGUGUAUUAUGGAAUUCCAGCUCAAGUUUAAACAUUGAUCACAACAAAUUCAGGUACCGACAUAGUUAAAGGCAAAAUAUUUCUCAACCAUAACUCGAAAUUCUUUAUUUGUGUGUGGUCUUAUUGUAGAUAAAUAAAUAUAUUACUGUUGAAUAUGGGUGCAUAUAGUUUUACAGAAUUUGCCAUACAUCACAGAGAAGAAACUUGCGAAGCUCCCAUGUCAAGAACUACAAUGGUUCAAAGUUAAAUAAAUUCGAAACGCAUGAAAAGCUUCACAGAACUGUACUUCUCUCCCUUCCGAUCGAAGAGUGGGACUGCUCGGAUACCUUGUCGCAGCUCUGGCACAGGUAGACAUGUUUGCCCAGCGAACUCAUCCUUGUCGGACCUAUUAUAAUCAAGAACUUUAAUGCGAAGUAGAGCCAAUUCAGGUACUGUUAGUGGAAAUUCAAACUGUUCAUCCCAGGUUGGUAUCCAAUUGUCGUCCAUUGUCUUUGUUUUCUUCUUUAUGGCAUCAGCAGGAACUCCAGCAAUUCCUACCUGCACAUAGUUUUACAUCUUAACCCUUCAUAUUUUCCUAUUACAGUCCCACUUGAAACACAAUAGUAGAACAGAAAUUUCGAGAAAAAAAAUUGGAAAGCUACUUCCUUUUAAUCUUUUUACUUUUCCCGUUUUCCCCAAACAAACUGAAAACAAUUAAUGCAAUACAAAAAGACGACAAAGUAUAUUGAAGGAUAACAUAUUAAUCUACCUUUGCAUAGAAAUCUGGAGGUGAAUACGUAUCAAAGUGUGUCUGAUCAAAGUCCUUGUCCCACCCAUCACCCAUAUAUACAGUCACCUGCUUAAUGCAAGAAGGGUUAGAUCAGUUUCAAGAACAAUGGAACAUGAGCAACAACAACGCUAUCCUACAAAGUCAACUAGCAAAUUACCAUUCCCCAUGUACCUUUAGUGUAGUUUUGACAGGCAGUUUUUUUGUAGGAUCGAAGACCUCAUUGUUGGGACCAGCUGUCAAUAGUAAAUCAGGUUUCUUAACAUAUCCACAGCCACCAUUAGCCCUGAACAUACCAUGCAUCAACCAAAGUGAUCUUCCAUAACCCUGCCGCAGGACACUUAUUCAGUACCUAUUUCUUCGGAAAUUUGGUAAGUAAUUACUAAAUGGAAUAGAGGAUGAAUGACAACACCAAUCAGGUCAUAAUUCAUGUGUUACAGGAAUUAAACACUUCAACGUAAUCCAAAGAAUUUUAAUCAAAGAUUUCUUUAAUCGGCUAAAACAUUAGAAGGAUGGAGAGAGUGGCAGAUUCAAUAAUGGGUUUGCAAGUUCAGUAAAACCUAGUGCUUCGUGGUCAAAGCUUACAUAUAUGUACGAAAAACAAGUACAUAUAAAGUUACACAUACAUUGGAGGACCUACUCUCUCAAUCAAUACCCACAACGUCUAAGUUCUAGAUCCACACAACAUAGAUAUUUGAAUUACUGGUAAGAAAUAAAACGACUAAAAAAAUAAAAUUAUACGUAGUUAUUAUAAUAUUAUUACACUUCGGAAAAAACAAGGAAGGAUCAAUACUACCGCUUUCCUCUGAGAAUCAAAUGUUGCAUCGAGAUAAUAGGAAAAUAAUCUUCAAGAAGGAAAAAGCCAUGUUUGGAAUCUAUAUUAAUGUAAUACCAGCAAAGAUAAACCAAGGAGAGGAGAACUAAAAUCACACGAGAAUUUAUUCUUUCAAUCUAGCUUCAUAAUACCCAGUUCUAGUUUGUUUUCUACAGGAUCGGAGACAGAAGACCAACCUGCAUAUUAAAUGCUACCAUUUGAGCUCCAUGCGUCCACCCAACAAAAGGAUCAUAAUUGGACGAGUCAACACGUAUUCCCUUUGGGUAUACUCUCAGCAAAUUUUUCUGCGUGAACCUAAAAAGAAACAUCAUGGGAAUACAGACAAUUAAUUAAAAUGUCCCUACAGAUAUGUACAGUUGGCAAGUUACAAAUGCUAUGGGUAAAUUUCUUAGACAAUUAAUUACAAAGUUAUCUCCAGCUAUGACAGUUGGUAAGUUACAUAUACAUGGUAUAAGUAAAUUGCCGAAACCUUCACAUGCAUGUACAGGUAACAUUGACAAUCAACUAGUAUAUGAUACAGUAUAACAAAUCAUUUCUGAUGUAACCCAAGAUUUUGAAUGUAUAACCCAAGAUUUUGAAGUAUAAGAUAUGCUGAACUCGGUCAUCUUAAUUCUUUCAAUUGAUCAUACAAAAAGGAAAUAAAAAAUGGGAGCAAAUUUAAGAGGUGGACAUAAACUCGAGGAGCUACAUUAAUUAUUCAACUUCCAAUCUGCCAUUGAGAUGUUAUAGCUACAUGCAUAUGGAUCAAUAACAUCACAAAUAACAGAGGAACUUUCGGAUGGAUGAAUACAGAGUUAUACCUGAUAAUCUCUUUGCUAUGAGUAUCUACAGCCUUUUCAAGUGCUGGUUCACUGAGACUAAGCCGUCUUACGUUGUUGGGGUCAACCCUCAGCCAAUCAGAUAGUCCUCCUUUCCCCUUUCCAGCAUGAAUGGCAAUUAAACGCUUGUAUUCUGAAGCUACAUUCUUCUCUGACUUUGGAUCUCCUUCAUCAUCUUCAUCAUCUUCUCCUUCAUCAGAAUCAUCCUGCUGGGAAGAAGUCUGUUAGAAUAGGGCAAACAAAGAAGUCGGUUAAAAAAUGGACAUGCUCAAUAAUAGAGGCUUAAUAAUUAGAGCAUUUAUUGCACCUCCGCUCCUUUCUUUGAGGCAUCUUUUUCCUUGACUUCCUUGGCUUGUAAGUAUUCUUUCGGUGGCUUAGUUGAUAUCAUAAUACGUUUUUUCAGUGAUUCUGGAGAAGGAAGUUCCUUCAAACACUCUGAAGGAGAAAACAGCAUGUCUCCAAAUGUUUGAGUGAUCAUCUAGUAUGUAGUCACAAAAACAUUAUUAUGAUCAAAGAAGGCGGUAAUCAUAUCCAGAAAAUGCACAUACGCACCUCA